GUGGCUCAGAUGUGCAGUAUUUCUCAGAAUGUGUAAAAAGCCCUGGAGUUCAUCCUCAGCACAAGAGACAAGUGAAGUGUGGAUGCACUGUUUUCUCAUGGGUGAAGCCUAAAGUUAAGAACCAUGGUCAUGAUCAUGCAGGGUUCAGGGCAGGCAAGACAGCCCAUUGUGUAUUAGUUUCUAUCCAUCCUUCAGGGAAGCUCCUUACAACAGAAAGUAAACAAUUCAAAAUUGCUUCAGGAAGUCCCUAAAACUGACCAGAUUCAUUAGACCCCAACCUCACUAAGAGGAAACAACAAAGGCUUCUGGGAGUUACUCAGACCAGCCAAGCCUCCUGGUAUUGUUCUGACCAACCGAGUCUCCUGGAAAGAGCACUCUCCAGCCUGUUGAGCUGCCUGCAAGCUAUGCAGUGUGUUUCAGGUUCCCAGAGCUGUCACCCAUGCCUGGGUGAGUUGGUGAUACAGCUGUCUUUGAGUUGUUUCUGCUCCUGUAAGUUGCCCCUCACCUAUACUCCUGUGAGCAACCACAAUAAAACCCAUUGAUUCACUAAUGUGGACUUUGACGAUAUCCACACGUUGGCCUGUUGUGGGCUCCCAUCUGGAGUGAGCAGUCAUGUGAUACAUCUCCCCAGGAAAGUUCUGUCACACAAAGUCCACAGAGAGAGGAAGUGGGUUCUUAGCUGCCAGGCCUGGGGUGUGAGGUGGAAAGUGACUUAUGUAAGGUGUUCCCCCCACCCCCUCAGAUGUUUAGAAUAUUCUAAAAGCUACUACCUCAAGAUGGACUUAUUGCAAAGUCUAUAAUGCCAGCGCUUGGGAGACUGAGAAGAGAGAAUGUGAACUUCAAGACCAGCCUGGGCAGUUUACUGAGAUCAUGUCUCAAAGGAAAAGCAAGCAAGCUAGCAACUGAACAAACCCCCAGAAAAUAGUAUAGUACCAAGCCUGAUUGUGUGAGCCACUCGCAUGCCCAUGAAAGCAACCUUAAUUAUGCCCUGUGGCUCACCAAACAAGCAAGCAAACUACAUCAGAACAGAAAAGUCUGCAAGUGCAACUGUUUUGGGAAUAAAAAGGAGUCCAGCCAGGAGUGAGAGAGAAAGGAGAGAGGAGGGAAAGAAUCCAGGGUUAUUACAUAUAUGCAUAAAAUUGUCAAUAAACAGAAACACUAAAAAUUUUUAGUGAUAGUAGCUGGAGAGAUGGCUCAGUGGCUAAGAGCACUGUCCAAAUCUUACAAUGGCUGCUCACAGCUCUCUGUAACUUCAGUUCAGGGGGAUCUGAUGCCCUUAUACAGAUACACGUGUAGACAAAACAAUGCGUGGAGAUAACAUGAAUAAACUGAAAAAUUAUUAAUCAAUGAUGUGCAGCCUAAAGGAUACACAAUUGUGUCCCAGAGCUGCCAUUCGACAACGUCUAUGAGGGGUCUGUAUGUAAAAGGUGCUUGGUGGCCUGAGUUUAGUCCCCAGGACUCUUUUAGGAGGAGAGAGCCCACUCCCUCCUAGAGCUUGUCCUCUGACUGCCAUAGGUAUGUAGCACACAGCCUCCUUCUCUCAACAACUAAAGAAAUAAAUAGGAAAAAGAAAAACACAUGGCUUUAAUCCCAGCACUAGGGAUGCAGAGACAGGUAGAUCUCUAUGAGUUUGAAGAAGCUAGCCUGCUUUACAUAGUUAGUUCCAGGGCAGCCAGAGCAAAAUAGUUAGACUGUCAAAAAGAAAAAAAAAAAAGAAAGAAGGAAAGAGAGAAAGAAAGAAAGAAAGGAAGGAAGGAAGAAAGAAAGAAAGAAAGAAAGAAAGAAAGAAAGAAAGAAAGAAAGAAAGAAAGAAAGAAAGAAGGUGGGGGGGGGGGGGCAGGGAGGGAAGGGAUUAAAGUUUUAUGGCUCUUCAGCGCCACCUUGUGGGCUCCAGAUGCACUGCUGCUCCAUGGUCCCUGCGGGCUGUGAAUAAUGAGUUCCGGGAUAGAUGAGGCACUCUGGGCUUCAGUGAUUAGAGACUACUAGUGCCACACAUCUCAGGCUCACAGACACAGGCUUAUGAUGGGUCGGAUGGUGUCUGUCAUCUGAGCCUUUGCAUCUGUACUCUGCCAGGGAGCUAGGUGUGGAAGAGCCCUGGAGAUAGUCAUGGAUGGGUUUGGAGUCCUACAGGGCUGCUCUGAAGUACCGCUCUGAGGAUGAGGGGACUCCAUCAGCCCCUGCUUUGCUGAGAGGCUCCCAGUGACACUUCUGGUCUCCUUGAACUGGGAUUAUCAGUCAGUCCCUCAAACUUUGAUUUUUUUUUUUAACCCAGUGCAUAGUGAUCCAGAGGUGAAGCCACAGUCCCUUUGGGGGAGAUGAGAAAAAGAUCAAUGAUAUCUAUUGCUAGCAUUUAUUGUUUCAAUGCUGAGGAUUGAGUCUAAGGCCUCACUUUAUGCUAAGCAGGGAAAUGUACCACUGAGCCACGCCCCCAGCCCCUUACUGGGGUGGGGUGGGGUCAGGGUGGAGAUUCUAGGCAGGGGCUCCACCACUGAGCCAC
rnacentral:lncRNA from 1 species